rnacentral:rRNA from 1 species
UACGUAGGUGGCGAGCGUUGUCCGGAUUUACUGGGCGUAAAGGGAGCGUAGGCGGACUUUUAAGUGAGAUGUGAAAUACUCGGGCUCAACUUGAGUGCCGCAUUUCAAACUGGAAGUCUAGUGCAGGAGAGGAGAAUGGAAUUCCUAGUGUAGCGGUGAAAUGCGUAGAGAUUAGGAAGAACACCAGUGGCGAAGGCGGCUUACUGGACUGUAACUGACGUUGAGGCUCGAAGGCGUGGGGAGCAAACAGG